UACGUAGGGCGCAAGCGUUGUCCGGAAUUAUUGGGCGUAAAGAGCUCGUAGGCGGUUUGUCGCGUCUGCUGUGAAAACCUAAGGCUCAACCUUGGGCUUGCAGUGGGUACGGGCAGACUAGAGUGCGGUAGGGGUGACUGGAAUUCCUGGUGUAGCGGUGGAAUGCGCAGAUAUCAGGAGGAACACCGGUGGCGAAGGCGGGUCUCUGGGCAGUAACUGACGCUGGAGGAGCGAAAGCGUGGGGAGCGAACAGG
rnacentral:rRNA from 1 species